rnacentral:tRNA from 1 species
UAAUAAAUAGUUUAAAUAAAAUAUAAAUUUUGUAAAUUUAAGUUACUAUUCAGUUUUAUUAA